ACAGUAGGCUCUUUCUGUUAGUCUCCGCUGCUACUUCUUGGCUCUGGGAGGCCCAGGUGGCUCUGCAGCAGCCUCUGCCACCCUGUGACCUGCGGGUAUUGGGACAUCCCUAGCUGACGCCAGGACACCCGGGAAGCCGAGGAAUAGACUCCGUGGCUUUUGAGGAUGUGGCUGUGAACUUUACUCAGGAGGAAUGGGCUUUGCUAGAUUCUUCUCAGAAGAAUCUCUACAGAGAAGUGAUGCAGGAAACCUGCAGGAACCUGGCUUCUGUAGGAAACAAAUGGAAAGACCAGAAUAUUGAAGAUCACUUCGAAAAACCUGGGAAAGAUAUAAGAUAAUUUGCACUGAGAAGAGGAAAUAAAGUCCUCUGAAGGAAUCUUAGCAUGGAAGUAUUCAUACUGGAGAGAGACCCUGUGAAUGUAAACAAUGUGGCAAAGUCUUUAGUCAUUUGAGUUCCCUUUGUAACCAUAGAAGUACUCAUACUAGAGAGAAACCCUAUGAAUGUAAACAAUGUGGCCAAGCCUUCAGUCGCCUCAGUUCCCUUCACCUCCACGAAAGAAUUCAUACUGG